rnacentral:rRNA from 1 species
UACAGAGGUCCCAAGCGUUACUGAGAAUUACUGGGUUUAAAGGGUGCGUAGGUGGUCCGUUAAGUCAGUUGUGAAAUCCCCGGGCUCAACCCGGGAAAUGCUUCUGAUACUGGCGGACUUGAGGCCAGUAGGGGUCACUAGAACUGACGGUGGAGCGGUGAAAUGCGUAGAUAUCGUCAGGAAUGCCGGUGGUGAAGACGGGUGACUGGGCUGGUUCUGACACUGAGGCACGAAAGCGUGGGGAGCGAACGGGG